GAUGAACGCUGGCGGCGUGCCUAAUACAUGCAAGUCGAGCGAAUGGAUUAAGAGCUUGCUCUUAUGAAGUUAGCGGCGGACGGGUGAGUAACACGUGGGUAACCUGCCCAUAAGACUGGGAUAACUCCGGGAAACCGGGGCUAAUACCGGAUAACAUUUUGAACCGCAUGGGUCGAAAUUGAAAGGCGGCUUCGGCUGUCACUUAUGGAUGGACACGCGUCGCAUUAGCUAGUUGGUGAGGUAACGGCUCACCAAGGCAACGAUGCGUAGCCGACCUUGGAGGGUGAUCGGCCACACUGGGACUGCGACACGGCCCAUACUCCUCCGGAAGUCAGCAGUAGGGAAUCUUCCGCAAUGGACGAAAGUCUGACGGAGCAACGUCGCGUGAGUGAUGAAGGCUUUCGGGUCGUAAAACUCUGUUGUUAGAGAAGAACAAGUGCUAGUUGAAUAAGCUGGCACCUUGACGGUACCUAACCAGAAAGCCACGGCUAACUACGUGCCAGCAGCCGCGGUAA
rnacentral:rRNA from 1 species